UGGGGAAUAUUGCACAAUGGGCGCAAGCCUGAUGCAGCAACGCCGCGUGAGGGAUGACGGCCUUCGAGUUGUAAACCUCUUUUAGUAGGGAAGAAGCGAAAGUGACGGUACCUGCAGAAAAAGCACCGGCUAACUACGUGCCAGCAGCCGCGGUAAUACGUAGGGUGCAAGCGUUGUCCGGAAUUAUUGGGCGUAAAGAGCUCGUAGGCGGCUUGUCGCGUCUGCUGUGAAAUCCCGGGGCUCAACCCCGGGCCUGCAGUGGGUACGGGCAGGCUAGAGUGCGGUAGGGGAGAUUGGAAUUCCUGGUGUAGCGGUGGAAUGCGCAGAUAUCAGGAGGAACACCGAUGGCGAAGGCAGAUCUCUGGGCCGCUACUGACGCUGAGGAGCGAAAGCAUGGGGAGCGAACA
rnacentral:rRNA from 1 species